UACAAACGAUAAAGAUAGAGUUAAAAACUCUAGGGACCCACGUGAUGAUGUCAAAUAUACGAGUAGAACCGACCUUAAUUGAUAAAUUUAAAGAUGCUCAAGCUACAGACCUGGAGCUAAUGAAUAUGAAGAAGAAGGUGCAAGAAGGAGUUAUUCUAGAAGUAAGAGUCGAUGAAGAGAAGAAAGCUCAAACCUUCGAUAUAUUUGAAAUCCUCGAUCGAGUAGGAAC
rnacentral:lncRNA from 1 species